rnacentral:rRNA from 1 species
CCUACGGGAGGCAGCAGUGGGGAAUUUUGGACAAUGGACGCAAGUCUGAUCCAGCCAUGCCGCGUGCGGGAAGAAGGCCUUCGGGUUGUAAACCGCUUUUGUCAGGGAAGAAAAGGUUCUGGUUAAUACCUGGGACUCAUGACGGUACCUGAAGAAUAAGCACCGGCUAACUACGUGCCAGCAGCCGCGGUAAUACGUAGGGUGCAAGCGUUAAUCGGAAUUACUGGGCGUAAAGCGUGCGCAGGCGGUUAUGCAAGACAGAGGUGAAAUCCCCGGGCUCAACCUGGGAACUGCCUUUGUGACUGCAUAGCUAGAGUACGGUAGAGGGGGAUGGAAUUCCGCGUGUAGCAGUGAAAUGCGUAGAUAUGCGGAGGAACACCGAUGGCGAAGGCAAUCCCCUGGACCUGUACUGACGCUCAUGCACGAAAGCGUGGGGAGCAAACAGGAUUAGAUACCCUGGUAGUCCACGCCCUAAACGAUGUCAACUGGUUGUUGGGAGGGUUUCUUCUCAGUAACGUAGCUAACGCGUGAAGUUGACCGCCUGGGGAUACGGCCGCAAGGUUGAACUUAAAGNUAGUGCGNGNGAGNGNGNGAGACGACGAGAGAG